rnacentral:rRNA from 1 species
GUAACGGGGUGUUAGGGCACGACACCGGAGAGGGAGCCUGAGAAACGGCUACCACAUCCAAGGAUGGCAGCAGGCGCGCAAAUUACCCAAUCCCGACACGGGGAGGUAGUGACAAUAAAUAACAAUACGGGGUUCUUUAGGAUCUCGUAAUUGGAAUGAGUACAAUUUAAAUCUCUUAACGAGGAACAAUUGGAGGGCAAGUCUGGUGCCAGCAGCCGCGGUAAUUCCAGCUCCAAUAGCGUAUAUUAAAGUUGUUGCAGUUAAAAAGCUCGUAGUUGAAUUUCGGGGUCAGUAGGUCGGUCGUGCCACUGGUAUGAACUGGUUUUACUGAUUCCUCCCUCUUGAAGAACUGUAAUGCCAUUAAUUUGGUGUUGCAGGGAAUCAGGACUGUUACUUUGAAAAAAUUAGAGUGUUUAAAGCAGGCUUUAGCUUGAAUACAUUAGCAUGGAAUAAUGAAAUAGGACGUUUGAUCCUAUUUUGUUGGUUUCUAGGAUUGACGUAAUGAUUAAUAGGGAUAGUUGGGGGCAUUAGUAUUCAAUUGUCAGAGGUGAAAUUCUUGGAUUUAUUGAAGACUAACUACUGCGAAAGCAUUUGCCAAGGAUGUUUUCAUUAAUCAAGAACGAAAGUUAGGGGAUCGAAGACGAUCAGAUACC